CUUUCCCUCCCAUUUUUUUACACAUAAUCACCCAUUCCCUCCAAAUAGUCUCCAUGUAAAUUAAAUAUAUUCAAUCAAAAAAGAAAUAAGCAAAAGGGUUUCAUCUCUCUCAGCCACGCCGCUGCCAAUCGCAUCUUUCUCUGAUCAUCGCCGACCACCAUCCCGAGGUUUGCUUCUAUGGAAAGGGUUGGAAUAUGUUUUAUGUGAUCAAAGGAUGUUCUGUGUCUACCAUAUUUCUUCCAAGUCAUACAUUAAUGAUGUCCAAACUUUUUGCAUUUGGAAGAUUUCAAUAUAAUGAAGAGUUGCAAAUAUUUAUUGUGGACUUAUGUAUCUAUUAUUUUGUUAUUGUAGGCAUUCAAUAUGAUUAGUUCUAAUAAUAUUAGUUAUUUACUUCAAACAAUGUAAUUUUAUCUUUUAUGUCAUUUAUACAGUAAUAAUAUAGAUUAGUACUUU